rnacentral:rRNA from 1 species
CUGCGAAUGGCUCAUUAUAUCAGUUAUAGUUUAUUUGAUGAGAACAAAUUGGAUAACCGUAGUAAUUCUGAGCUAAACCGAAUAAAGUCUUGUAGACUGCAUUUAUUAGAAUGAAAACCAUAGGUUUCGGCCUAUUCGUGAGUAAUAAUAACUAAUCAUAUCGUAUGCUUACGUAACGAUGUGUCUUUCAAGUUUCUGCCCUAUCAGCUUUCGAUGGUAGUGUAUUGGACUACCAUG